UUCGUCGACGGAGAUACUUUUUUAUGAAAAGUCUAGCAUAAAUGCUAGAAAGAAAUCCAAUAUCUCGCGAAAUUGUGACAUUGACGCUGGUCAAAUUUCCACACAGAGAUAAAUAUGCGAUUCAAGGUCCUCUGGUGAUUUGUAUCUUUAUCAUCGAGCUGGAGCUGGCCAUUUGCAUCUCCGUCACGUAGUCUCCCUCCGAGCCGUUGUAAACAUCUCAAUUUGCACGUGACGUCCUCACGCUACACUGUGCCCCAAAGUAGAGGACUUAGGGGGGAAUGCAGUUCCUGGGAAGACAGCCCGAAGAAUCAACUCAGACUAAUUUCAACGAAUUUAUCAUGGAGAAAGAGAGUCCGAUACAGUGGAAAAUUUGAAAUAAAAAUCAUACGGAU